rnacentral:rRNA from 1 species
GACAGAGGAUGCAAGCGUUAUCCGGAAUGAUUGGGCGUAAAGCGUCUGUAGGUGGCUUUUCAAGUCCGCCGUCAAAUCCCAGGGCUCAACCCUGGACAGGCGGUGGAAACUACCAAGCUGGAGUACGGUAGGGGCAGAGGGAAUUUCCGGUGGAGCGGUGAAAUGCAUUGAGAUCGGAAAGAACACCAACGGCGAAGGCGGCUACCUGGACAAUUGCUGACGCUCAGGCACGAAAGCGUGGGGAGCAAAAGGG